AAGAGAAUGAACAAAGAUUUCAAUAUCUAGUAUGUCCAGCAGAGAUGCAACUUGUACAAAAAAUAAAGAAGUAGAGAUGCACACAGCUCCCCUGACAACAUUGUGUCCCAAAGCAAUGUCUUCUGUGACCCUCUUUAAGGAGCUCACUGUCUCUCACCACAUGGGCAAGUGCUUCCAGGGUCUCUCAAUUCCUCAACGGGAGACAACACACAUUUUAACACAGUACCUCAGCAAAGGAAGUGGUGAUAAUUUACCUACUUUGAUAAAGUUCCUGAAAAGAUCCCUAGACAGCAAAAUUUCCUGCUGAAAGAACACAGAAAAGACUUUUCUGUGUUCACAACACAGAAAUGGACCUCCUUGCUUUUCAAAAAAGUACCCUUGAAAUAGCCAAAACAAUUUUGCCAAAACAAAUUGUAGAACUUGAACUUUCUUAUUUGAAAUCUCACAAAACAUUACAACUAUUAAAAACAGAAGCUGCUGGCAUAAGAAUACAAAUAGGGACCAAAGGGAUAGAAUCGAGAGUCCAGAAAUAAAUCCUCACCCUUAUAGUUCAUUGCUCUUGCAUAAGGGUGUCAAGAUAAUUUAAUGGAGGAACAAUCAUCCUCUUAAAUAACGGUGCGGAAACAACUAGAUAACCACACGCAAAACAAUAAACUUAGAGAACUAUGCUUCCAACCAUAUCAAACAAUUAUCUAAAAAUAGAUCAGUGAGUUAAUUAUAAGAUCUAUAACCAUAAAAACAUAUUAGAAAGAGACAUAGGAGGUGCUUCCUGUGGCCGACAUCAUCUGGAGAUUUGCUUUCCUUUUCUCCAAAAGGGGAGGAAGUUGAAUCUGAGUGGCCCGCGAAGGGAAGAGGGGAAGCCCAGGGGUACAGGAGGCCUCUGGGUGAAUGCAGAGGCUAACAUGGGGUUCAGAGCAACCUUGACCGUUGGCCUGACCAUCUUUGUGCUGUCUGUCAUCACUAUCAUCACCUGCUUCACCUGCUCCUGCUGCUGCCUAUACAAGACCUGCCACUGACCACAUCCGGUUGUCACCACCAUCACAUCCACCACUGUGGUGCACACCCCUUAUCCUCAGCCUGCAAGUGUGCCGCCCAGCUACCCUGGAGCAAGCUACCAGGGCUACCACACCAUGCUGCCUCAGCCAGGGAUGCCAGCAGCACCCUACCCAAUGCAGUACCCACCACUUUACCCGGCCCAGCCCAUGGGCCUGCCAGCCUACCAUGAGACCCUGGCUGGAGGAGCAACCGCGCCCUACCUGGCCAGCCAGCCUCCUUAUAACCCGGCCUACAUGGAUGCCCCGAAGGCGGCCCUCUGAGCAUCCCCCGGCCUCUGUGGCUGCCACUUGGUUAUGUUGUGUGUGAGUGGUGUUCAGGCACGGUUCCUUAUGGCCCAGGUGUGCUGUG